GAGUUUGAUCCUGGCUCAGGAUGAACGCUGGCGGCGUGCUUAACACAUGCAAGUCGAGCGAUGAAGUUUCCUUCGGGAAACGGAUUAGCGGCGGACGGGUGAGUAACACGUGGGUAACCUGCCUCAUAGAGUGGAAUAGCCUUCCGAAAGGAAGAUUAAUACCGCAUAACGUUGAAAGAUGGCAUCAUCAUCUAACCAAAGGAGCAAUCCGCUAUGAGAUGGACCCGCGGCGCAUUAGCUAGUUGGUGGGGUAACGGCCUACCAAGGCGACGAUGCGUAGCCGACCUGAGAGGGUGAUCGGCCACAUUGGGACUGAGACACGGCCCAGACUCCUACGGGAGGCAGCAGUGGGGAAUAUUGCACAAUGGGGGAAACCCUGAUGCAGCAACGCCGCGUGAGUGAUGAAGGUUUUCGGAUCGUAAAGCUCUGUCUUUGGGGAAGAUAAUGACGGUACCCAAGGAGGAAGCCACGGCUAACUACGUGCCAGCAGCCGCGGUAAUACGUAGGUGGCGAGCGUUAUCCGGAUUUACUGGGCGUAAAGGGAGCGUAGGCGGAUGAUUAAGUGGGAUGUGAAAUACCCGGGCUCAACUUGGGUGCUGCAUUCCAAACUGGUUAUCUAGAGUGCAGGAGAGGAGAGUGGAAUUCCUAGUGUAGCGGUGAAAUGCGUAGA
rnacentral:rRNA from 1 species